GAGUUUGAUCCUGGCUCAGGACGAACGCUGGCGGCGUGCUUAACACAUGCAAGUCGAGCGAUGAAAUUCUCUUCGGAGAAUGGAUUAGCGGCGGACGGGUGAGUAACACGUGGGUAACCUGCCUUAUAGUGGGGGAUAGCCUUUCGAAAGGAAGAUUAAUACCGCAUAAUAUUGUAGUUUCGCAUGAAACAACAAUUAAAGAUUUAUCGCUAUAAGAUGGACCCGCGGCGCAUUAGCUAGUUGGUGGGGUAACGGCCUACCAAGGCGACGAUGCGUAGCCGACCUGAGAGGGUGAUCGGCCACAUUGGGACUGAGACACGGCCCAGACUCCUACGGGAGGCAGCAGUGGGGAAUAUUGCACAAUGGGGGAAACCCUGAUGCAGCAACGCCGCGUGAGUGAUGACGGUCUUCGGAUUGUAAAGCUCUGUCUUUAGGGACGAUAAUGACGGUACCUAAGGAGGAAGCCACGGCUAACUACGUGCCAGCAGCCGCGGUAAUACGUAGGUGGCAAGCGUUGUCCGGAUUUACUGGGCGUAAAGGGAGCGUAGGCGGAUUUUUAAGUGGGAUGUGAAAUACCCGGGCUUAACCUGGGUGCUGCAUUCCAAACUGGAAGUCUAGAGUGCAGGAGGGGAAAGCGGAAUUCCUAGUGUAGCGGUGAAAUGCGUAG
rnacentral:rRNA from 1 species